rnacentral:rRNA from 1 species
GACGAACGCUGGCGGCGUGCUUAACACAUGCAAGUCGAGCGGAGCGGCGAACGGGUGAGUAACGCGUGAGUAACUGCCCCCCUCUCUGGGAUAACAGUUGGAAACGGCUGCUCAUACCGGAUAGUGGGGGAUGACUCGCGUCCUAUCAGCUUGUUGGUGGGGUAGUGGCCUACCAAGGCGACGACGGGUAGCCGGCCUGAGCGGGCGACCGGCCACAUUGGGCUGAGAUACGGCCCAAACUCCUACGGGAGGCAGCAGUGGGGAAUAUUGCACAAUGGGGGAAACCCUGAUGAAGAAACGCCGCGUGCGGAAUGACGGGCUUCGGGUGGUAAACCGCUUUCAGCCAUGACGCGGUAGUGACAGAAGAAGCAACGGCUAACUACGUGCCAGCAGCCGCGGUAAUUC